CGCUGGCGGCGUGCCUAAUACAUGCAAGUCGAACGGUCUUUUCUAUGGAAGCUUGCUUCCACUGAGAAGAUAGUGGCGAACGGGUGAGUAACACGUGGGUAACCUGCCCAUAAGAGGGGGAUGACAUCCGGAAACGGGUGCUAAUACCGCAUAGUUUUUCUUGAUCGCAUGAUUGAGAAAGGAAAGACGGCCUUUGUGCUGUCGCUUAUGGAUGGACCCGCGGCGUAUUAGUUAGUUGGUGAGGUAAUGGCUCACCAAGACGAUGAUACGUAGCCGACCUGAGAGGGUGAUCGGCCACAUUGGGACUGAGACACGGCCCAAACUCCUACGGGAGGCAGCAGUAGGGAAUCUUCCGCAAUGGACGAAAGUCUGACGGAGCAACGCCGCGUGAGUGAAGAAAAGGUUUUCGGAUCGUAAAACUCUGUUGUCAGAGAAGAACAAGUUGGAGAGUAACUGCUCCAGCCUUGACGGUAUCUGACCAGAAAGCCACGGCUAACUACGUGCCAGCCGCUGC
rnacentral:rRNA from 1 species